CUUUUUUGGGGAUUGCUGUCAAAAAAUGAGGAAUGAUACUCGAGUUGAGAAUUGUAGACUGGAUCUCACAAAAAUUCUGGUCAAACUAACAAAUGAUUCACUGAAGAAUGGGGGCAGAAAAAAGGACAGCAGACAGAGCAUGAAUGAGACCCCCAAAGAAGGGAAGCAAAUGAGACAAGCCCCACAAUUAUUCUGGCUUUUUGCCUAGAGACAAUCUAUGAACUGUGGGGCAAACAACAGAGAUCAAAACAGCUUGGCAAUCUGAGUUGAGGAUGAAGACACCAUUGGGGCAGAAGCAGCGAUAGCUCAAAUUUGUGGAGCAAAGUACCGGAGAAGAUAAACUGCUCCAAAUUCCAAGAGGCUGGGCAAAGAAAAACUUUGUGGAAAGAAGAAUUAUCAGGGAACUCUAAGCUGAAAAAUUGCCAGGGCUCACACAGACCUGGGGAAUUGGUUGAGUUUAUGCCACCUACAGGAUAGAGAACUUGCUGAAUGUUCAAGGAUUUUGUUACAGAUGCAAGAUGACACUUAAAGGGAUGCAAAACUAACAUCUCUGGAUUAGUCUUAAUAAAG
rnacentral:lncRNA from 10 species